AUUGAACGCUGGCGGCAUGCCUUACACAUGCAAGUCGAACGGCAGCACGGGAGCAAUCCUGGUGGCGAGUGGCGAACGGGUGAGUAAUAUAUCGGAACGUGCCCGGUCGUGGGGGAUAACGUAGCGAAAGCUACGCUAAUACCGCAUACGAUCUACGGAUGAAAGCGGGGGAUCGCAAGACCUCGCGCGAUUGGAGCGGCCGAUAUCAGAUUAGGUAGUUGGUGAGGUAAAGGCUCACCAAGCCGACGAUCUGUAGCUGGUCUGAGAGGACGACCAGCCACACUGGGACUGAGACACGGCCCAGACUCCUACGGAGGCAGCAGUGGGGAAUUUUGGACAAUGGGCGCAAGCCUGAUCCAGCAAUGCCGCGUGCAGGAUGAAGGCC
rnacentral:rRNA from 1 species